CCAAAUUUUCCAAAUCAUUGUCUCCCUGACCUCCGCCAAACUCUAAGAUCGAUCUAGGUUCUGUCUUUACUUCCGGAGAAUAGUUAUCAUGGUUUUCUGGCUCUUUGAAUGUUGGGACAUUAUCCCAUCUUGAUCCAUGAUCUUGCGAUUCACUUGUAAUCUUCGAAACUUGGUUGUCCAGUUCCAGAUUACUGGCGAUCUUACUUAUGGAAAUUCUAUCUUCGAAAUUAGAGUGCAUAGCAUGUGUAGACACAUCAUCAUAUAUUUUAUUUUUCUUCGAGCAUCGUGCACCAUAUUGAAGUUCAGUCACUUCCAAAGUGUCGCUCCUAUCUUCUUUCAAAACUAAAUCAGCCUCCAAACGGCUCACUUGGGAGCAUUCCCUACUUUCAGCGAGACCUGCCUCGUGAUUGCUGCAAUCGAAUUUAGUAGUUGUUUCUUGCUGUCCUACUACUAGGUUUUUUUCUGCUUGCAAUGCUUCACUUUGAACAGUUUUUCUUUUACUUUCCAUAAUUUGAUCUACAGAAUACAGUACAGACUUUGUUUCCCACUGAAGUUCAGCUUCAUUGUCAUUGCUGACUUCUUCUUGAGAGAUAACAAAAUUAGAAAAAUUGAUAUCACUCUUUGAACUCUCAUGUACCGUUUCAUUAAGAGAUGAUACUUUGAUUGUUCUUUUUGAAUUUUCACAGUUUUCGGUGAGCUUGGAUUCUUUAGCAUCUUCCUCCAUGUUUUCCUGGAUGUUUUCAAGCCCCAAAGCAUCACUGGAGUUUCCAUAUACAUGGAAAUCAUCGUCAAGGUUUAUCUGAGUAUCUGAUAAGCACCUAGGAUCGUCCAGUACAAGACUUAGGGGUUCAAAGUCAUCAUUGAUCUCUAAGUUAUUUGACAAAUCAUCCCUCUCACUAUUUGUUCUUCCACUAUCCGCCAAACUACUGUCGCAGCUACCAUCUAGUUCGAUUCCAAUAGUGUAAUCUUUAUCUCUUGUAUCAACGAUUUCUGGACUGCCAUCUUUCCUUUCUCCAGAAUCACCUUCAGUUCCAUCAUUUCUGGUAUCUUCUUCCACUAUUACUUUUUUAUCGCUUGUCUCAAUUUUAUUACUAGAAUUCAAACCUCUUAUUCCAUUUUGUUCAGACUCUUUGAUCACUAAAACCUCAUCAUCUGAAAGUAACUCUAGAUUGUACAUUGACUUCAGGUUUAAAUUACCAAGCCUAUCCUGGCCUAUAAUGCGCUCUGAGAUUUCACAUGACUUUGGAGAAACUGUUUGAGAAGAUAUAGGCGUCUUGAUCGGAGUGAGGUGCUUUACAGG
rnacentral:misc_RNA from 1 species